UACGUAGGUGGCGAGCGUUGUCCGGAUUUACUGGGCGUAAAGGGAGCGUAGGCGGAUUUUUAAGUGAGAUGUGAAAUACUCGGGCUCAACUUGAGUGCUGCAUUUCAAAUUGGAAGUCUAGAGUGCAGGAGAGGAGAAUGGAAUUCCUAGUGUAGCGGUGAAAUGCGUAGAGAUUAGGAAGAACACCAGUGGCGAAGGCGAUUCUCUGGACUGUAACUGACGCUGAGGCUCGAAAGCGUGGGGAGCAAACAGG
rnacentral:rRNA from 1 species